UGUCCAAUUGAAACAAAGCGUUGCGAUGGCCAAAAAGUGGUGUUGACGCAAUGUGAUUUCUACCCAGUGCGCUGAAUGUCAAAACGAAGGGAUUCGACCAAGCGCGGGUAAACGGCGGUAGUAACUGUAGGUAAUGAAUGAAGAGGC
rnacentral:ncRNA from 1 species